rnacentral:rRNA from 1 species
CGGUUCGACGUCGUCAGAGAGUUUCGUAUCCUCGGCGCACGGAGACGGCUGCGGCGUGCUUAACACAUGCAAGUCGAACGGUGAUCUCGCAGCUUGCUGCGGGUGAUCAGUGGCGAACGGGUGAGUAACACGUGAGUAACCUGCCCUUGACUCUGGGAUAACUCCGGGAAACCGGUGCUAAUACUGGAUAUGACUCUGGCCCGCAUGGGUUGGGGUGGAAAGUUUUUCGGUCAAGGAUGGACUCGCGGCCUAUCAGCUUGUUGGUGGGGUAAUGGCCUACCAAGGCGACGACGGGUAGCCGGCCUGAGAGGGCGACCGGCCACACUGGGACUGAGACACGGCCCAGACUCCUACGGGAGGCAGCAGUGGGGAAUAUUGCACAAUGGGCGAAAGCCUGAUGCAGCGACGCCGCGUGAGGGAUGACGGCCUUCGGGUUGUAAACCUCUUUCAGCUCUGAAGAAGCGAAAGUGACGGUAGGAGCAGAAGAAGCACCGGCUAACUACGUG